AGAAUUGUAAAAAAUUGCUACAAAAAGAAAAAGAAAAAAAAAAGAGAAAAAGAAAAAGAAAAGCAGUACUCACUGUUAGUUGGUUCAGAGGUAUUUGGCACUGAACUCGGUAGGGCGGAUUACGAUCCGAUCCCACACAACUACAGUUGGGUCCAAUAAAAGGAUUUACACAUAUUUAUGUGCCAGAAAUCCCAUGCUCUGAUCAUAAUCAC
rnacentral:lncRNA from 1 species